UACGAAGGGGGCUAGCGUUGUUCGGAAUCACUGGGCGUAAAGCGCACGUAGGCGGAUGUGCCAGUCAGGGGUGAAAUCCCGGAGCUCAACUCCGGAACUGCCUCUGAUACAGCACGUCUUGAGUUCGAGAGAGGUGGGUGGAAUUCCUAGUGUAGAGGUGAAAUUCGUAGAUAUUAGGAAGAACACCGGUGGCGAAGGCGGCCCACUGGCUCGAUACUGACGCUGAGGUGCGAAAGCCAGGGGAGCAAACGGG
rnacentral:rRNA from 1 species